AACGAACGCUGGCGGCAUGCCUAACACAUGCAAGUCGAACGAGACCUUCGGGUCUAGUGGCGCACGGGUGCGUAACGCGUGGGAAUCUACCCUUGGGUUCGGAAUAACAGUUAGAAAUGACUGCUAAUACCGGAUGAUGACGUAAGUCCAAAGAUUUAUCGCCCAAGGAUGAGCCCGCGUAAGAUUAGCUUGUUGGUGGGGUAAUGGCCUACCAAGGCGACGAUCUUUAGCUGGUCUGAGAGGAUGAUCAGCCACACUGGGACUGAGACACGGCCCAGACUCCUACGGGAGGCAGCAGUGGGGAAGAUUGGACAAUGGGCGAAAGCCUGAUCCAGCAAUGCCGCGUGAGUGAUGAGGCCUUAGGGUUGUAAAGCUCUUUUACCAGGGAUGAUAAUGACAGUACCUGGAGAAUAAGCUCCGGCUAACUCCGUGCCAGCAGCCGCAGUAA
rnacentral:rRNA from 1 species